rnacentral:rRNA from 1 species
GAGCCCCGUGGAGGAGGGGAAACGGUGCUGGAACCCCUGCGCUACAAAGCGGUGGAGGAACAUUUCUUGUGUGACCGCGUACUUUUUGUAGAACGGGCCAACGAGUUACGUUAAGUAGAAAGGUGAAGCACUUAAGGUGUGGAGCCGUAGCGAAAGCGAGUUUUAACUGAGCGUUCAGUUACUUGACGUAGACCCGAAACCGGGCGACCUACCCAUGAGCAGGAUGAAGCGAAAGUAAAAUUUCGUGGAGGUCCGAACCCACGAGCGUUGAAAAGCUCGGGGAUGACUUGUGGGUAGCGGUGAAAUUCCAAUCGAGCCCGGAGAUAGCUGGUUCUCCCCGAAAUAGCUUUAGGGCUAGCCUCAAGGUGAGAGAUACGGAGGUAGAGCACUGAGUGUCCUAGGGGGUAUUGCACCUACCGAAGACUAUCAAACUCCGAAUGCCGUCAUCUUAUACUUGGGAGUCAGACUGUGGGUGAUAAGAUUCAUAGUCGAAAGGGCAACAGCCCAGAUCGUCAGCUAAGGUCCCUAAAUGUAAGUUAAGUGGUAAAGGAUGUGGGAUUGCACAGACAACCAGGAUGUUGGCUUAGAAGCAGCCACUCAUUCAAAGAGUGCGUAAUAGCUCACUGGUCGAGUGAUCCUGCGCCGAAGAUUUCCGGGGCUAAA